UCCGUAGGGGGCAAGCGUUGUUCGGAAUUACUGGGCGUAAAGGGCGCGUAGGCGGCACGGCAAGUCGGGCGUGAAAGCCCGGGGCUCAACCCCGGAGGGUCUCUCGAAACUGCCGAGCUAGAGUGCGGAAGAGGCAAUCGGAAUUCCCAGUGUAGCGGUGAAAUGCGUAGAUAUUGGGAAGAACACCGGACGCGAAGGCGGAUUGCUGGGCCGACACUGACGCUGAGGCGCGAAAGCCAGGGGAGCAAACGGG
rnacentral:rRNA from 1 species